rnacentral:misc_RNA from 1 species
AGAGGCCAAAGUGACGUACAAUCCGCUGGUUGCCUGCACGCCGGCAGAUGUAAACUUUGAAGCUUUUGAGCAAAUCAAUGCCAAGUUCACCUGGGACUUUGGUGAUGGUAACAUCAUUGAUACAACUGUAAAUAAAUUGGUCCACACCUACAACGACUUUGGCAAGUUCGUUCCCAAAGUGAUACUUGAAGAGCAGUGCAUCAUCCCGCUGAUGGGUAAGGAUACAUUACAUAUUUACGGCGUGGACGCCAAAUUCGUAAUAAAUAAGAAUCUUUUCUGCGAUACCGGCACUGUUGUGAUCACAGACUCCUCAGUGUUCAAUACACCGAUCACAUCAUACAGGUGGAACUUUGGAGACGGUACUUUCUCCACCCAGCAGCACCCGAGGCAUUUUUAUCCAGUGCCUGGAAGCUAUCCGAUAAGAUUAGAUGUAAUGACGCAGGCUGGCUGUCCGGAUUCAGCUUUCUUCAAUGUUGUGAAAGUGGUGCAAACUCCGCGC